CACACAUGAUAGAUUUGUCCCAAAAGGAUAUGAAAUUGUUUUCAGUGUACAAAAAUAUCUCACCUUUUACAAUGAGUCCAGACUGGACAUUAUUUUUAAGCAUUAAAAACAACAAUAAUAAUAAUAAUAAUAAUAACAACAACAACAACAACAACAACAACAGGCAUUUGGCUUGUUUUAUUUACUCAUUCAAUUUGGCCCCCGAAAAAGUACAAACGUUUUCUAUUCAAGUUCUUUUAGGUGUAUAAAAAUAAUUAUUAACACACAGUUACGAUUUUUUUUUUUUUUUUUUUUUUUAUGACUGACAAAAUGACUAUUUCUUUAAGCAUUUACGCCUCCGUAUUUUAAAGUGCAACGUUUUUCUUCUAAAUCCAAGCUUGAAAUGUAAGACGAAAUAAAAACGAAAAAUAAAAAUAAGAGAAAAAUACAUUAAACACGUAUUAGUAGGUAAAGCACGGUACCUAUUUUAACACAGAGCGUAGACUUUACUUCUUGUUGUUGUUGUUUACAAUCAACUCAAACAACUGUACAUGAGACAGCAUGAACGCCAAACACUCUUAUUUCUAAAAGACCGGUCACUUCUUUUGGUUAGCAAAACAGUUUUCCCAAUGCCUAAAUAAAAAAAAGUAAUUAAUUUUUAAAAAAUUAAAUAAAUAAAAAAAAAAUCAAGAUGAUCCACGAUCAUGACCAUGAUGCACAAUUAACAGUAACAGCAGCCAUUAUCUAAAAAUAAAACAAAAAACCGCCACCUGUAAACACAGUGGCUUAAAUAAAAGUAGUCGUGAACAGUCUGAGAGGCUAUAAAUAAAUAAAUAAAUAGCUGUACGGAGAUUAUAAUAUCACUGCACUGUACAGCUCGGGCUGUGUGCUGUACUUCUCCUUCAUCUUCCUUAACAUCAGUGUGAAGCAUUAAUUAUCGAACCCCGUCCAGACGUCUUCUGACCGGCUUUCCAUCAACAUUUCCGUUCUGCUUAACUCGAACAGGCCAUCACGCGCGCGCAUGCACAGCCAGACGUGCGUUCCUGAUGGAUCCUUGUGAACGCAGCUUCGGUCCAGACGGAAGCAGAAGAACACGGCUACGGUCUCUGUUUAAAUAAGCAAUUCAUGGAUUAAUAUCACUUUAUUUAUUUAUUUAUUUUUUGAAUCUGGCGCUUUGUAUACGUGUACGUCGUCCUGCACGAGUUUCGAUCGUGUUCUGUAGAGAUCCCACCGUUCUGGAACUUUCUACAGUGAGACGAUGAGCACCUCGUGCAAAGCUUUCAGGAAUGUAGGCUGAACGUGUUCCCA
ensembl:lncRNA